rnacentral:rRNA from 1 species
UUUAUGGAGAGUUUGAUCCUGGCUCAGGAUGAACGCUGGCGGCGUGCCUAAUACAUGCAAGUCGAGCGAACAGAUAAGGAGCUUGCUCCUUUGACGUUAGCGGCGGACGGGUGAGUAACACGUGGGUAACCUACCUAUAAGACUGGAAUAACUCCGAAACCGGCUAAUGCCGGAUAACAUGUUGAACCGCAUGGUUCUACAGUGAAAGACGGUCUUGCUGUCACUUAUAGAUGGACCCGCGCCGUAUUAGCUAGUUGGUGGGGUAACGGCCUACCAAGGCGACGAUACGUAGCCGACCUGAGAGGGUGAUCGGCCACACUGGAACUGAGACACGGUCCAGACUCCUACGGGAGGCAGUAGGGAAUCUUCCGCAAUGGGCGAAAGCCUGAGCAACGCCGCGUGAGUGAUGAAGGUCUUCGGAUCGUAAAGCUCUGUUGUUAGGGAAGAAUAAAUGUAAGUAACUGUGCACAUCUUGACGGUACCUAACCAGAAAGCCACGGCUAACUACGUGCCAGCAGCCGCGGUAAUACGUAGGUGGCAAGCGUUAUCCGGAAUUAUUGGGCGUAAAGCGCGCGUAGGCGGUUUUAAGUCUGAUGUGAAAGCCCACGGCUCAACCGUGGAGGUCAUUGGAAACUGGAAACUUUGUCCUCCGAAGAGGAAAACUCUAUCUCUAGAGCGGUGAAAUGCGCAGAGAUAUGGAGGAACACCAGUGGCGAAGGCGGCUUUCUGGUCUGCAACUGACGCUGAUGUGCGAAAGCGUGGGGAUCAAACAGGAUUAGAUACCCUGGUAGUCCACGCCGUAAACGAUGAGUGCUAAGUGUUAGGGGGUUUCCGCCCCUUAGUGCUGCAGCUAACGCAUUAAGCACUCCGCCUGGGGAGUACGGUCGCAAGACUGAAACUCAAAGGAAUUGACGGGGACCCGCACAAGCGGUGGAGCAUGUGGUUUAAUUCGAAGCAACGCGAAGAACCUUACCAAAUCUUGACAUCCUUUGACCGCUCUAGAGAUAGAGUUUUCCUCUUCGGAGGACAAAGUGACAGGUGGUGCAUGGUUGUCGUCAGCUCGUGUCGUGAGAUGUUGGGUUAAGUCCGCAACGAGCGCAACCCUUGAACUUAGUUGCCAUCAUUCAGUUGGGCACUCUGUUGACUGCCGGUGACAAACCGGAGGAAGGUGGGAUGACGUCAAAUCAUCAUGCCCUUAUGAUUUGGGCUACACGUGCUACAAUGGACAAUACAAAGGGCAGCGAAACCGCGAGGUCAAGCAAAUCCCAUAAAGUUGUUCUCAGUUCGGAUUGUAGUCUGCAACUCGACUACAUGAAGCUGGAAUCGCUAGUAAUCGUAGAUCAGCAUGCUACGGUGAAUACGUUCCCGGGUCUUGUACACACCGCCCGUCACACCACGAGAGUUUGUAACACCCGAAGCCGGUGGAGUAACCAUUUUGGAGCUAGCCGUCGAAGGUGGGACAAAUGAUUGGGGUGAAGUCGUAACAAGGUAGCCGUAUCGGAAGGUGCGGCUGGAUCACCUCCUUUCU